CGGGAUGUAGCUCAGCUUGGUAGAGCACCACGUUCGGGACGUGGGGGUCGUGAGUUCAAAUCUCGUCAUCCCGA
rnacentral:tRNA from 3 species